GAUGAACGCUAGCGGCAGGCCUAAUACAUGCAAGUCGAACGGUCCACAUCGGUGGAUAGUGGCGCACGGGUGCGUAACACGUAUGCAACCUACCUUACAUUGGGGGAUAGCCUUUCGAAAGGGAGAUUAAUACCGCAUAAGACAGUAACAUGGCAUCAUGUAGCUGUUAAAGAUUUAUCGAUGUAAGCUGGGCAUGCGUCCAAUUAGUUAGUUGGUGAGGUAAUGGCUCACCAAGACGAUGAUUGGUAGGGGAACUGAGAGGUCAAUCCCCCACACUGGCACUGAGAUACGGGCCAGACUCCUACGGGAGGCAGCAGUAGGGAAUAUUGGGCAAUGGACGCAAGUCUGACACAGCCAUGCCGCGUGCAGGAAGAAGGCGUUCUGCGUUGUAAACUGCUUUUAUAUAGGAAGAAACGACCCUUGCGAGGGGCAUUGACGGUAUUAUAUGAAUAAGCACCGGCUAACUCCGUGCCAGCAGCCCGCCGUAAAAC
rnacentral:rRNA from 1 species